GGUUAUGGCUCAGAGGUAGAGCACUCACCUAGCAUGUGUAAGGCACUGGGUUCGAUCCUCAGCACCA
rnacentral:tRNA from 1 species